ACCAAUCACCAAAACUUGGACAGUGCAGGCAUUUAUGUUCCCUUUCAGGAGAUAAUUGAUAUGGAUGAUGGAACAUAUGAAGCUAUUGUAGGAAGUGACUUUGUCAUUAGUAGAGUUGUAUUUCGAGACAACUCUUCAAAGUACAAUAUAAAUGACCGUGGAAGUAAUUUUACAGAGGUCACUAAGAAAUUGAAAGGAAAAGGAAUGGACUUAGACAACAAUCAGUUUUUGAUUCUUCAGGUAGGUGAUGGGCUGAUGGCUGAAAAAGGCCUAUUUACUUGUGAAAAAAAUACCAUACCGUCAAAAUCUAUAUUCUUUUUCAAUUCCUUAUCAUUGAAAUUUCAGGGUGAAGUCAAGAAAUUUCUCUAAUGAAGCCAAAGGCCAGGAUAAAGGAUGUACCUGACCAUAUGCGAGUGCACACAGACUCACCAAGAUUUGUAUUUUCAGCAUUAUUGUAAUUGUAAUUGUAAUUGAUUGAAUGAAGGAUUGAUUGUAAUUGAAUGAAUGAAUGAUUAUGUAGGUGGUAAUUGAAUGAACAAAUGAUUAUG